UCUUCUUCAACACAAUAUCUUUAAACAGUGUUUAGGAGAGGGAGCUUGUUGGUAUCUGGGGCCAUUUUGUGGUUGAUUAUGAGACUUGUUGACCUCAAAAUGCAACUAAACUCAAACUGUGAUCACUGGGCUCUUCUUCCUCCCUCAUCAUCUUCCUCACUGUGUGGGGGUACCACAUGUGUCCCAACUCUGCCACCUUGUUUGAGAGGAAGGUUGCUGACAUUUGCAAUUCUUUCAAGAUGGAGUCCUCAGACACAUUAGGCAAUCCUCUCCCCAGACAACCCUCCCCCUCUCCCCACUCCCCCCAAUCACACAGACGAGACAAACAGCAGGAGGACUCGGUGACUCAAGCAUGAUGUCAGAGGAAAGGGAAUAUUCACACUGCAUUUUGCUCCAGAGCUGAACCUCUCUGGGGUCAAACACCUAUCAUCUGGAGGCCUGGAUGGGUGACCUCGCUCUUCUGAACCAUUUUUGGCUGACAGUGAAACAUGACCUCUGCUGACCUCAUCUGGACACAGGAGGCUACUCCCCCACAUCAUCAUAGUCCAUCCCACUGGGAGCUGGAGGAGUUUCAGCCAGAACACUCUCCUCUACAGGGAUGGAU